GAUGAAGAACGUAGCGAAAUGCGAUAAGUAAUGUGAAUUGCAGAGUUCAGUGAAUCAUCGAAUCUUUGAACGCACAUUGCGCCCGCCAGUAUUCUGGCGGGCAUGCCUGUUCGAGCGUCAUUUCAACCAUCAAGCCCCCGGCUUGUGUUGGGGACCUGCGGCUGCCGCAGGCCCUGAAAACCAGUGGCGGGCUCGCUAGUCACUCCGAGCGUAGUAAUACAUCUCGCUCAGGGCGUGCUGCGGGUUCCGGCCGUUAAAAAGCCUUAUUUACCCAAGGUUGACCUCGGAUCAGGUAGGAAGACCCGCUGAACUUAAGCAUAUCAAUAAGCGGAGGA
rnacentral:misc_RNA from 1 species